rnacentral:rRNA from 1 species
AACGAACGCUGGCGGCAUGCCUAACACAUGCAAGUCGAACGAGAUCUUCGGGUCUAGUGGCGCACGGGUGCGUAACGCGUGGGAAUCUGCCCUUUGGUUCGGAAUAACAGUUGGAAACGACUGCUAAUACCGGAUGAUGACGAAAGUCCAAAGAUUUAUCGCCAGAGGAUGAGCCCGCGUAGGAUUAGCUAGUUGGUGUGGUAAAGGCGCACCAAGGCAACGAUCCUUAGCUGGUCUGAGAGGAUGAUCAGCCACACGGGGACUGAGACACGGCCCAGACUCCUACGGGAGGCAGCAGUGGGGAAUAUUGGACAAUGGGCGAAAGCCUGAUCCAGUAAUGCCGCGUGAGUGAUGAAGGCCUUAGGGUUGUAAAGCUCUUUUACCCGGGAUGAUAAUGACAGUACCGGGAGAAUAAGCUCCGGCUAACUCCGUGCCAGCCGCCGCGGUAA